GUAAGGAAUAUUGGUCAAUGGACGAAAGUCUGAACCAGCCAUGCCGCGUGAAGGAUGAAGGCCCUCUGGGUUGUAAACUUCUUUUAUCUGGGACGAAAAAAGGGUAUUCUUACUCACUUGACGGUACCAGAGGAAUAAGCACCGGCUAACUCCGUGCCAGCAGCCGCGGUAAUACGGAGGGUGCAAGCGUUAUCCGGAUUCACUGGGUUUAAAGGGUGCGUAGGUGGGUAUUUAAGUCAGUGUUGAAAUCUCCUAGCUUAACUCGGAAACUGCCAUUGAUACUAUUUACCUUGAAUGCCCUGGAGGUAAGCGGAAUAUGUCAUGUAGCGGUGAAAUGCUUAGAUAUGACAUAGAACACCAAUUGCGAAGGCAGCUUACUACGGGGUGAUUGACACUGAGGCACGAAAGCGUGGGGAGCAAACAGGAUUAGAAACCCGUGUAGUCC
rnacentral:rRNA from 1 species